CGCUAAAGAAAACGUUAAACUGGGAAAGACGUGAUUUAAUAAUAUUGGGUAUUGAGAUUGCGUAGACGCGCAUCAAACAUCUCAAGUUGGAAGCUGAGAAGCCGGUAUCUCAAUGGUAAUUAACGUUGCACCUUGAUCAAUAGAAAUCCGCUUCGUAUUGUGUGAUGUUUAAUUUAACAUCAUGAUGAUCAUAAUUAUCAAGAUAACUGGCACUCGGUAUGAGGUUAUAACUUUAGAAUUUAAUGCAUUAUAGAAUUCAAUGAUUCAUAAUAAGAAAGUUAAUUAUCUAAACCAAUUUAUAUUAAUUUUAUUGUUGUUUAAAAACCCAAUAGAGGCAAAUUUUAAAAAUAUAUAAGAUAAAAACGUAGAAAUCUGCUAAUGUUUGGGUUUUUUCAAGUUAAAUUUAAGUGAAAUUUGUUGACCGCAAAGAUAAUGUUACUGUAAUCUAGAAACGAUGCAUGCAACUAUCAACAAUCACCAUCAUAUCCUCAAUAAUGUGGCGCAAUGUGCCACAUAUUUCACACUUAGACAAAACCCGUCGACACUUCUUUUCUUCUCUCCAACAGCAUUCCACCGCAAUAAACACACGGCUCGUGCCACCGGCUCGCAUUAAAAUAUUUAAAAGAAAACCGCAAUUAUCUGCACAUUAGUUUUAAACUUAAUAAAAACUAUGAGAUUGUAAUAAAAUCA